GACGAACGCUGGCGGCGUGCUUAACACAUGCAAGUCGAACGGAAAGGCCCUGCUUUUGUGGGGUGCUCGAGUGGCGAACGGGUGAGUAACACGUGAGUAACCUGCCCUUGACGUUGGGAUAACUUCAGGAAACUGGGGCUAAUACCGGAUAGGAGCUCCUGCUGCAUGGUGGGGGUUGGAAAGUUUCGGCGGUUGGGGAUGGACUCGCGGCUUAUCAGCUUGUUGGUGGGGUAGUGACUUACCAAGGCUUUGACGGGUAGCCGGCCUGAGAGGGUGACCGGCCACAUUGGGACUGAGAUACGGCCCAGACUCCUACGGGAGGCAGCAGUGGGGAAUAUUGCACAAUGGGCGGAAGCCUGAUGCAGCAACGCCGCGUGCGGGAUGACGGCCUUCGGGUUGUAAACCGCUUUCGCCUGUGACGAAGCGUGAGUGACGGUAAUGGGUAAAGAAGCACCGGCUAACUACGUG
rnacentral:rRNA from 1 species